rnacentral:rRNA from 1 species
UGGUGAUUAUAGUGGAGGUGUUACACCCGUUCCCAUUUCGAACACGGAAGUUAAGCCCUCUCACGCCGAUGAUACUGCCCCUCAAAGGGUGGGAAAGUAGGUCGUUGCCG